rnacentral:rRNA from 1 species
GGUCAGCAACUCGACUACAUGAAGCUGGAAUCGCUAGUAAUCGCGAAUCAGAAUGUCGCGGUGAAUACGUUCCCGGGUCUUGUACACACCGCCCGUCACUACCAUGGGAGUUGGGAAUGCCCGAAGCCGGUGACCUAACCGAAAGGGAGGAGCCGUCGAAGGCAGGCUUGAUAACUGGGGUGAAGUCGUAACAAGGUACC